AUUGAACGCUGGCGGCAGGCUUAACACAUGCAAGUCGAGCGGGGUGAUGGUGCUUGCACUAUCACUUAGCGGCGGACGGGUGAGUAAUGCUUAGGAAUCUGCCUAUUAGUGGGGGACAACAUCUCGAAAGGGAUGCUAAUACCGCAUACGUCCUACGGGAGAAAGCAGGGGAUCACUUGUGACCUUGCGCUAAUAGAUGAGCCUAAGUCGGAUUAGCUAGUUGGUGGGGUAAAGGCCUACCAAGGCGACGAUCUGUAGCGGGUCUGAGAGGAUGAUCCGCCACACUGGGACUGAGACACGGCCCAGACUCCUACGGGAGGCAGCAGUGGGGAAUAUUGGACAAUGGGGGGAACCCUGAUGCAGCCAUGCCGCGUGUAUGAAGAAGGCCUUCGGGUUGUAAAGUACUUUCAGCGGGGAGGAAGGCGGUGAGGUUAAUAACCUCGCCGAUUGACGUUACCCGCAGAAGAAGCACCGGCUAACUCCGUGCCAGCCGCCGCCGUAA
rnacentral:rRNA from 1 species